rnacentral:rRNA from 1 species
UGGGGAAUAUUGCACAAUGGGCGCAAGCCUGAUGCAGCCAUGCCGCGUGUGUGAAGAAGGCCUUCGGGUUGUAAAGCACUUUCAGCGAGGAGGAAGGGUAGUGUGUUAAUAGCACAUUGCAUUGACGUUACUCGCAGAAGAAGCACCGGCUAACUCCGUGCCAGCAGCCGCGGUAAUACGGAGGGUGCAAGCGUUAAUCGGAAUUACUGGGCGUAAAGCGCACGCAGGCGGUUUGUUAAGUCAGAUGUGAAAUCCCCGCGCUUAACGUGGGAACUGCAUUUGAAACUGGCAAGCUAGAGUCUUGUAGAGGGGGGUAGAAUUCCAGGUGUAGCGGUGAAAUGCGUAGAGAUCUGGAGGAAUACCGGUGGCGAAGGCGGCCCCUUGGACAAAGACUGACGCUCAGGUGCGAAAGCGUGGGGAGCAAACA